CGAACUCUGGUAUUGAUUGGUGCUUGCAUCAUGAUUUACAUUUGAGUGAGUGGCGAACUGGUGAGUAACACGUGGGAAACCUGCCCAGAAGCGGGGGAUAACACCUGGAAACAGAUGCUAAUACCGCAUAACAACUUGGACCGCAUGGUCCGAGCUUGAAAGAUGGCUUCGGCUAUCACUUUUGGAUGGUCCCGCGGCGUAUUAGCUAGAUGGUGAGGUAACGGCUCACCAUGGCAAUGAUACGUAGCCGACCUGAGAGGGUAAUCGGCCACAUUGGGACUGAGACACGGCCCAAACUCCUACGGGAGGCAGCAGUAGGGAAUCUUCCACAAUGGACGAAAGUCUGAUGGAGCAACGCCGCGUGAGUGAAGAAGGGUUUCGGCUCGUAAAACUCUGUUGUUAAAGAAGAACAUAUCUGAGAGUAACUGUUCAGGUAUUGACGGUAUUUAACCAGAAAGCCACGGCUAACUACGUGCCAGCAGCCGCGGUAAUACGUAGGUGGCAAGCGUUGUCCGGAUUUAUUGGGCGUAAAGCGAGCGCAGGCGGUUUUUUAAGUCUGAUGUGAAAGCCUUCGGCUCAACCGAAGAAGUGCAUCGGAAACUGGGAAACUUGAGUGCAGAAGAGGACAGUGGAACUCCAUGUGUAGCGGUGAAAUGCGUAGAUAUAUGGAAGAACACCAGUGGCGAAGGCGGCUGUCUGGUCUGUAACUGACGCUGAGGCUCGAAAGUAUGGGUAGCAAACAGGAUUAGAUACCCUGGUAGUCCAUACCGUAAACGAUGAAUGCUAAGUGUUGGAGGGUUUCCGCCCUUCAGUGCUGCAGCUAACGCAUUAAGCAUUCCGCCUGGGGAGUACGGCCGCAAGGCUGAAACUCAAAGGAAUUGACGGGGGCCCGCACAAGCGGUGGAGCAUGUGGUUUAAUUCGAAGCUACGCGAAGAACCUUACCAGGUCUUGACAUACUAUGCAAAUCUAAGAGAUUAGACGUUCCCUUCGGGGACAUGGAUACAGGUGGUGCAUGGUUGUCGUCAGCUCGUGUCGUGAGAUGUUGGGUUAAGUCCCGCAACGAGCGCAACCCUUAUUAUCAGUUGCCAGCAUUAAGUUGGGCACUCUGGUGAGACUGCCGGUGACAAACCGGAGGAAGGUGGGGAUGACGUCAAAUCAUCAUGCCCCUUAUGACCUGGGCUACACACGUGCUACAAUGGAUGGUACAACGAGUUGCGAACUCGCGAGAGUAAGCUAAUCUCUUAAAGCCAUUCUCAGUUCGGAUUGUAGGCUGCAACUCGCCUACAUGAAGUCGGAAUCGCUAGUAAUCGCGGAUCAGCAUGCCGCGGUGAAUACGUUCCCGGGCCUUGUACACACCGCCCGUCACACCAUGAGAGUUUGUAACACCCAAAGUCGGUGG
rnacentral:rRNA from 2 species